GGCUCCAUAGUUCAACUGGAUAGAAUAUCAGAUUUCGGCUCUGAGGGUUGGGGGUUCGAAUCCUCCUGGGGUCACCA
rnacentral:tRNA from 1 species